rnacentral:rRNA from 1 species
GACGGAAGGUGCAAGCGUUGCUCGGAAUCACUGGGCGUAAAGGGUGCGUAGGCGGCCUGGUAAGUCUGGCGUGAAAGCCCAGGGCUCAGCCCUGGAAGUGCGCUAGAAACUGCGAGGCUCGAGUGCCGGAGGGGAGAGUGGAAUUCCUGGUGUAGCGGUGAAAUGCGUAGAUAUCAGGAGGACACCGGUGGCGAAGGCGGCUCUCUGGAGCCACAACUGACGCUGAGGCGCGAAAGCUAGGGAGCAACAGGA